rnacentral:rRNA from 1 species
GUCAUUUAGAGGAAGUAAAAGUCGUAACAAGGUUUCCGUAGGUGAACCUGCGGAAGGAUCAUUAAUGAAACUUCAAAGUCGGCCAAAGGUUGUUGCUGGUGAUUAUUCACAUGUGCACGCCUUUGGUCGCAAAUCCACACACACCUGUGCAUCUAUGACUCGAGGUUGUAAUGACUGAGAGUAACUUUUAUACACUCUUGUAUGUAAUGGAAUGUCUUUUUGUGCUAUAAUGUACAAUAUAAACAACUUUCAACAACGGAUCUCUUGGCUCUCGCAUCGAUGAAGAACGCAGCGAAAUGCGAUAAGUAAUGUGAAUUGCAGAAUUCAGUGAAUCAUCGAAUCUUUGAACGCACCUUGCACCCUUUGGUAUUCCGAAGGGUACGCCCGUUUGAGUGUCAUUGUAAUCUCACUUCUACAACUUUAUUGUUGUUUGAAUGUGGACUUGGAUGUUGCCGUUUUAUCACRGCUCGUCUUAAAUGCCUGAGUGUACCCUGUUUUGCAGCGUAUCCAGUGUAAUAAACAUUUCACUAGAGUUGGUCGAAAGACCGCGUUGACUAUAUGGGCUCUAUGCUUCAAACCGUCUGCCAUGUGGACAAUUUCUUGACAAUUUGACCUCAAAUCGGGUGGGACUACCCGCUGAACUUAAGCAUAUCAAUAAGCGGAGGAAAAGAAACUAACAAGGAUUCCCCUAGUAACGGCGAGUGAAGAGGGAAAAGCUCAAAUUUUAAAUCUGGUGUCUUUGACUCCCGAGUUGUAAUCUAGAGAAGUGUUUUCCGUGUCGGACCGUGUACAAGUUCCCUGGAACGGGGCGUCAUAGAGGGUGAGAAUCCCGUAUAUGCCAYGGACUACCGAUGCUCUGUGAUACACUCUCAACGAGUCGAGUUGUUUGGGAAUGCAGCUCAAAAUGGGUGGUAAAUUCCAUCUAAAGCUAAAUAUUGGCGAGAGACCGAUAGCGAACAAGUACCGUGAGGGAAAGAUGAAAAGCACUUUGGAAAGAGAGUGAAACAGUACGUGAAAUUGUUGAAAGGGAAGCGUUUGAAGUCAGUCGCAUCUGUUGGGGUUCAGCCUGGCUUUUGCCUGGUGUAUUUCCUUUCYGAUGGGUCAGCAUCAGUUUYGACCGAGGGAAAAAGACAUUUGGAAUGUGGCUGUCUUCGGGCAGUGUUAUAGCCUUGUGUUGUAUGUCUCGGUUGGGACUGAGGAUUGCAGCGCGCCAUAAAUGGCCGGGGGUCGCUCCUCUCGACACGCGCUUAGGAUGCUGGCAUAAUGGCUUUAAGCGACCCGUCUUG